GUGACGAUGCCACUUCUAAACAUAACUGGUAGACAAGGUAACAGUGGUGCAAAGACUAGGGGCUGUAGCAGCAGUGUCACUUGAUCCAGCAUCCUAGGUGCCUGUGCACUCUUCGUUACCCGUCGAUCGGCUUGGUGUGCUUCUCCUGUUUGUGGGUUGUGUGCCACGCACUUGAUUAAGCACCCCACAUUCUCCUACAGUGCAUCGUUGACCCUGGCUUUAGGUAGCGUUGUGUCCUCGGCUUGCCGUGCAUAAUCCAGGUACGCGUCGACUAUCCGAGCUCCUGCUCACCAUUGGUGUUUGCUCGAGUGUGGGUUCUCGUGUCGCCCAUAAAGGGCACGGGAUGUGGGAUCGAGAUAGUUCACAUAGCAACCCACAACAAGGCAAUGGAUGCCCAUCCAGACUGACAGGGAGCGGAGGUGGACACAAAAAGAUGGAUGUUGACUCCAUAGGAGUCUCCAUAGUACGCUCGUCCGUAAGAGCAGCAGGAGCAAGAAGAUCCUGGAUAUACUUGUCUUAACAAAUAAAGAAGCCUUCGAAGGUAGACUCAGGGAAGUAGCGAUGAGGACCAAGGUCAGAGAUAAGAAACUCACUAUGACGAGCCUUCACAAAGGCAAUGUACUUAAGAGUCGUGCAGUAUCAUGAGCACUCGCUGAAAAAUGAGUUGCAUUAACCAAAGAGACAACGCUCAAACUAGGCAUGACGGGUUUGCUUAAGACCAUAUAGAGAACGCCGAAGAUGACAAACCAUGACUGCUGGAAAAGAAUACCCAAGUGGUGGGUACGUGUAGGCAUUGUUGACAUCAAGGGUAGAGAGAGAGAUACUAUGUUGGCAAACUGAAGCCACAUCGAAAGUGUGCCAAAAGGGCUCAUCUGGGCCAUACAGGAGCAAAUGUCUCAUCGUAGUCAUGACUAUAUGUUCUCACCACUAGACGAGCUUUGUAAAGCUCUAGAGAAACAUCAUAGUCUCACCCUUGUGGGCCUAGUUACAGUGAUGAGACGAGCAAGAGGAGGAAGGGAAAUGAGAGUCGACUAGCCGACGAGGUGAAGAGCAUUUGAUGCCAUCACAUGCUGCCAUUGUGGAUGAAAAAAAUGUCAUGAUAAGAAGUCUUCUUGUGAAGAGCACCGCAAUAACUAACCAUAGCAGUCAAUAGGCAGAAGCGGGCGAGCUCGAAAGCCAUAAGUAGGCUGAUCUGGAGCUAUGUGUUGCCAACAGAAGAAGACAUAUUAGUCGAGGGAGAUGACUCAUUAGAAGAAUCCACAACACGCGAACAGUGAGUGUACAAAAGUCAAGGAAGACGAGCAAAAGAAGGAACAUGAAAAGAGAAACUGCCAAGAGAGCCUCGACUAUCGACUGGCAGGGAAGUUACCAGGAUAAGAGAACUGAGCAAGAGCACCCUGCUCAACAAGGAUUGAAUGCAACAUCUUGGAGGUUUAUUCUCCAGAAGAGUCAUCACGGAAUACAAGAAUAGGCGUAGAGAACUUGGUGUGAACCAUGGCAGCAAAACGCUUACACAGAUAAGACCUCACUACGAAAGGAGAUAACGUAUAUCCAGGUGUGUUGAGAGAAGUCAUCUAUAAAUAUAGUACUAGCGAUGACCUCCUUUCGAGGCGGAAGGAGGUGGACCCCAGACAUCAAAGUGAACAAGGUUGAAAGGGUUGUUGAGACAUCAAAGUAAACAAGGUUGAAAGGGUUGUUGAGACACUGUCUCGCUAUGAGCAUAAGGUAACUAUAGCUGUUUACCAAGCCGAGAACCCAGACAGUUUAGAGACAUCGUCGGAGACCGAUCCAAGAAGACCAUGUCAAACUAAGGAUGCGAGAUGAGAGCCACACAAGUGACCCCAGGCGACGAUGGCACUUCUAAGCAUAACUGGUAGACAAGGUAACAGAGGUGGAGAGACUAGCGGCUGUAGCAGCAGAGUCACGUGAUCCAGCAUCCUACGUGCAUGUGCGCUCUCCGUUACCCGCCGAUCCGGCUUGGUGUGCUUCUCGUGUUUGCGGGUUGUGUGCCACACUUGAUUAAGCACCCCACGUUCUCCUACAGUGCGCCCUUGACCCUGGCUUUAGGUAGCGCCGUGUCCUCGGCUUGCCGUGCAUAAUCCAGGUAUGCGCCAACUCUCCGAGCUCCUGCUCACCAUUGGUGUUGCUCGAGCGUGGGUUCUGGUGUCGCGCAUAAAGGGAACACGGGAUGUGUGAUUGUGACAGUUCACAUAGCAACCCGCGGCAAGGCAAAGGAUGCCCAUCCAACUGGCAGGGAGCGGAGGUGGACCCAAAAAGGUGGAUGUUGACUCCAUAGGAGUCUCAACAAUGUGCUUGUCAGUAAGAGGAGCAAGAAGAUCCUAGAUAUACUUCUCUUAGCAAAUAAAGAAGCCAUCAAAGGUAGACUCAGGGAAGUAGCGAUGAGGACCAAGGUCAGACAUAAGAAACUCACUGUGACGAGCCUUCACAAAGGCAAUGUACUUAAGAGUCGUGCAUGGUCAUGAGCACCCGUUGAAAAACGAGCCUUAUUAACCACAGAGACAACGCUCAAACCAGUCAUGAGGGGUUUGCUAAAGAUCAUAUAGAGAACGCCGAAGGCGAUAAACCAUGCCGACUGGAAAAGAAUACCCAAGUGGUGGCUACAUGUAGGCAUUGUUGACAUCAAGCUGAGAGAUAGAUAGAUAGAUAGAUAGAGAGAGAGAGCGAGCCUAUGUUGGCAAACAGAAGCACAUCGAAAAGUGUGCCAAAAGUGGUCAUCUGGGCCAUACAGGAGCAAAUGUCUCAUCGUAGUCAUGACUAUAUGUUCUCACCACUAGACGAGCUUUAUAAAGCUCUAGAGAAAUAUCAUAGUCUCACCCUUGUGGGCCUAGUUACAGUGAUGAGACGAGCAAGAGGAGGAAGGGAAAUGAGAUUCCACUAGCCGACGAGGUGAAGAGCAUUAUUGCGGUGGUCUUCUUGUGAAGAGCACCGCAAUAACUAACCAUAGCAGUCAAUAGGCAGAAGCGGACGAGCUCGAAAGCCAUAAGUAGGCUGAUCUGGAGCUAUGUGUUGCCAACAGAAGAAGACAUAGUAGUUGAGGGAGAUGACUCAUUAGAAGAAUCCACAACACGCGAACAAUGAGUGUAGUAAAGUCAAGGAAGAUGAGCAAAAGAAGGAACAUGCAAGACAAACUGCCAAGAGUGCCUCGACUAUCGACUGGCAGGGAAGUUACAUUGACAGUAAAAACAUGAACAUGAGAAUCUAGAUGUGGAAUACCCAAGUGGUGGCUGCACGUAAAACCCCUCACAAAAUUCACCAUUAAAAAAGACAUUCUUAACAUCAAGCCGAGACGAAGUGACGAAUAAAGGCCGCAACAAGAUGUGUGUGAACAAUUGUCGUAUGGCCCGCAUGAGCAAAAACUCUCAUCGUAAUUAGGACCAUGAUUCUACUGAAAGCCACGAGCCACAAGACGAGAUUUGUAAUGUUCAAGAGAACCAUCAGAGCGAGUCUUAACCUUGUAGACGCACCAAGUAAUGGGACGAACACGAGGAGGAAGGGACAUAAUAUCCGAUGUGCUGAUGUGCUCAACAGUAGCAAUAUCCUCUACCAUGGCAAGGCGCCAUUUGGUAUGAAUAACAUCAAGAUAAGAAGUCUGCUCAAGAAAGUAGCGCCAACGUUUCAUAGCCUAAGGCGGUCAACAGGCAAAAGUGUACGAGGUCGCAAGCCAUAAGAAGGCCGAGACGGAGAAAAUGUCACAUCAGUAGAUGCAUCCACAACACACGAACGACGUGUUUAAAAGUGAGGCAAAUGUGGAAGAAUACGAGCAAUAAUCCUCGAGAUAAGCUUAGGUUAUGGGGACAAGGAAGUCACCGGUGAUGAAGGUUUAGAAUCCCGUGAUAAGCGAAGCGAGGAAAUCAUAGGAGAUGAUGGUGCUGAAUCUGUAAUAAUUGGAGAAGCAGGAGCAGUACGAGGAAUGGAAUAGGGCUCAACGAUAGUGAUAGGAAUGUCGGGAAAAGUGAGAUAACACAUCCUCCACUAAAAAGGUCGGGGAUGAUGGCCACACGCAGCAGGGACGAGACUCACUAAAACUCAUACCGUGAGAAAUAGUCACCCGAUGACCAACCUGAUCCCAACAACAAUAUCUCUUAUGGUCAUUGUUGUAUCCUAUGAACACUCAACAUACUAAGUAGUAAGUUUGGUACAUUGACGAGAGGCAGUAAGGGCACAUCAAACACAACCAAACAAUUGAAGCGCUGAAUAAUCUGGAAACGAUCAAAUAGACUCUCGAAAGGAGAUGACCAUGGUGGAAGUGGAGACAAAUUCAACCCAAAAGUGUGGCGUAAGAGAGGCAGUGACCAUCCAAAAGUGUGGCGGAAGAGAGAGCAGUGACAUUGAACCUAUGAGCCGUCUCAAUAGUUGACGAUGCUUGCCCUCAGCCAUGCCAUUUUUGAGCAUGAGCACCAGGAUAAGAGAACUUAGCAAUGGCACCCUGCUCAACAAGGAUUGAGCGCAACAUCUUGGAGAUUUAUUCUCCACCGAGUCAUCACAGAAUACAAGAAUAGGCGUAGAGAGAUACUAUGUUGGCAAACAGAAGCCACAUCGAAAAGUGUGCCAAAAGUGGUCAUCCGGGGCCAUACAGGAGCAAAUGUCUCAUCGUAGUCAUGACUAUGUUCUCACCACUAGAUGAGCUUUGGAAAGCUCUAGAGAAACAUCAUAGCCUCACCCUUUGAUGUCAUCACAUGCUGCCAUUAUGGAUGAAAAAACGUCAUGAUAAGAAGUCGUCUUGCGAAGAGCACCACAAUAACUAACCAUAGCAGGUGAGCUCGAAAGCCAUAAGUAGGCUGAUCUGGAGCUAUGUGUUGCCAACAGAAGAAUACAUAGUAAUCGAGGGAGUUGACUCAUUAGAAGAAUCCACAACACGCGAACAGUGAGUGUAGUAAAGUCAAGGAAGACGAGCAAAAGAUGGAACAUGAAAAGAGAAACUGCCAAGAGUGCCUCGACUAUCGACAGGUAGGGAAGUUACCAGGAUAAGAGAACUGAGCAAGAGCACCGUGCUCAACAAGGAUUGAAUGCAACAUCUUGGAGAUUUAUUCUCCACCAGAGUCAUCACGGAAUACAAGAAUAGGCGUAGGGAACUUGUUCGUGUGCCUUGGCGUCAAAACGCUUACACAUAUAAGACCUCACUACGAAAGGAAAUAAAGUAUAUCCAGGUGUGUUGAGAGAAGUCAUCUAUAAAUAUAGUACUAGCGAUGACCUCCUUUCGAGGCGAAAGGAGGUGGGCCCCAGACAUUAGAGUGAACAAGGUUGAAAGGGUUGUUGAGACACUGUCUCGCUAUGAGCAUAAGGUAAGUAUAGCUGUUUACCAAGCCGACAACCCAGACAGUUUAGAGACAUCAUCCGAGACUGAUCCAAGAAGACCAUGUCAAACUAAGGAUGCGAGAUGAGAGCCACACAAGUGACCCCAGGCGACGAUGGCACUUCUAAGCAUAAAUGGUAGACAAGGUAACAGAGGUGGAGAGACUAGCGGCUGUAGCAGCAGAGUCACUUGAUCCAGCAUCCUACGUGCCUGUGCGCUCUCCGUUACCCGCCGAUCCGGCUUGGUGUGCUUCUCCUGUUUGCGGGUUGUGUGCCAGCACUUGAUUAAGCACCCCACGUUCUCCUACAGUGCGCCCUUGACCCUGGCUUUAGGUAGCGCCUUGUCCUCGGCUUGCCGUGCAUAAUCCAGGUAUGCGCCAACUGUCCGAGCUCCUGCUCACCAUUGGUGUUGCUCGAGCGUGGGUUCUGGUGUCGCCCAUAAAGGGAACACGGGAUGUGGGAUUGAGACAGUUCACAUAGCAACCCACAGCAAGGCAAAGGAUGCCCAUCCAACUGGCAGGGAGCGGAGGUGGACCCAAAAAGGUGGAUGUUGACUCGAAGGAGUCUCAACAGUACGCUUGUCAGUAAGAGGAGCAAGAAGAUCCUGGAUAUACUUCUCUUAGCAAAUAAAGAAGCCAUCAAAGGUAGACUCAGGGAAGUAGCGACGAGGACCAAGGUCAGACAUAAGAAACUCACUGUGACGAGCCUUCACAAAGGCAAUGUACUUAAGAGUCGUGCAGGAUCAUGAGCACCCGUUGAAAAACGAGCCUUAUUAACCACAGAGACAACACUCAAACCAGUCAUGAGGGGUUUGCUAAAGAGCAUAUAGAGAACGCCGAAGGCGACAAACCAUGCCGGCUGGAAAAGAAUACCCAAGUGGUGGUUACAUGUAGGAUUGUUGACAUCAAGCAGAGAGAGAGAGAGAGAGAGAUAGAUAGAGAGAGAGCCUAUGUUGGCAAACAGAAGCACAUCGAAAAGUGUGCCAACAGUGGUCAUCUGGGCCAUACAGGAGCAAAUGUCUCAUCGUAGUCAUGACUGUAUGUUCUCACCAGUAGACGAGCUUUGUAAAGCUCUAGAGAAACAUCAUAGUCUCACCCUUGUGGGUCUAGUUACAAGUAAUGAGACGAGCAAGAGGAGGAAGGGAAAUGAGAUUCCACUAGCCGACAAG
rnacentral:lncRNA from 1 species